rnacentral:rRNA from 1 species
GACGUAGGGGGCCAGCGUUGUUCGGAAUUACUGGGUGUAAAGGGUUCGUAGGCGGUGUGGCAAGUCGGGAGUGAAAUUUCUGGGCUCAACUCAGAGACUGCUUCCGAAACUGCUGUGCUUGAGUGUGGGAGAGGCGCGUGGAAUUGCAGGUGUAGCGGUGAAAUGCGUAGAUAUCGCAGGAACACCCGUGGCGAAAGCGGCGCGCUGGACCACUACUGACGCUGAGGAACGAAAGCUAGGGGAGCAAACAGG